UAUAUAUACAUAAAGUCUGUUUAUUGCCUUCAGUAUUGGUUUGCCCGGACACAGCCGUGAAUGCACCGCCACCUGGCAGAGGGCGUAACACCAGCACGCAUCAGGUUCAGUCCCAGUGCCUCCAUUCUGGCCCGAAUCCGGGCUCUACAGGCUACCCAGAACACCUGAAAGACCCGGAUUGGGGUGGAGAUGGGAGGCGCGCGCUGGGUUCCGUGACAUUCUCGUGCCGCUCGUAAAGCGGGCUGGGCCGGAGUGCUUCAACUACACGAAGCUCAACACUUUGUUUUGUGAGGAGUCAGCGCUAAUCAGCACCAGCAGCUACCGCCGCUGCGAAGCCUGGACGCCUCUCAAAGUGUGUGAUGCAUGCUGGAUGGCGCCAUGCCCUGCCGCAUCAUGGGAGUCGUGCAGCCUUUUGGCAUGUGAAAGGUUACUGCCCAGCAUUAAUGAGGUCCAGCAGGGGACGGCGUGGGUCGGUUGUCCUGAUGAAAGCCCCGAGGCUGAGGGGGCGGGGCUUUCCUGAGUUGCCGAGCAAAUCCGCAGAGCUCCAAGGAGGGUGGGC